rnacentral:rRNA from 1 species
GACGAACGCUGGCGGCGUGCCUAAUACAUGCAAGUCGAGCGGACUUUCAAGAAGCUUGCUUUUUGAAAGUUAGCGGCGGACGGGUGAGUAACACGUGGGCAACCUGCCUGCAAGACGGGGAUAACUCCGGGAAACCGGGGCUAAUACCGGAUAAUAUCUUCCUUCGCAUGAAGGAAGGUUGAAAGGCGACGCAAGCUGCCGCUUGCAGAUGGGCCCGCGGCGCAUUAGCUAGUUGGUGAGGUAACGGCUCACCAAGGCGACGAUGCGUAGCCGACCUGAGAGGGUGAUCGGCCACACUGGGACUGAGACACGGCCCAGACUCCUACGGGAGGCAGCAGUAGGGAAUCUUCCGCAAUGGACGAAAGUCUGACGGAGCAACGCCGCGUGAGCGAAGAAGGUCUUCGGAUCGUAAAGCUCUGUUGUCAGGGAAGAACAAGUACCGUUCGAACAGGGCGGUACCUUGACGGUACCUGACCAGAAAGCCACGGCUAACUACGUG